rnacentral:rRNA from 1 species
UACAGAGGUGGCAAGCGUUGUUCGGAAUUACUGGGCGUAAAGGGCGCGUAGGCGGCCUUCUAAGUCAGACGUGAAAUCCCCCGGCUUAACCUGGGAACUGCGUCUGAUACUGGGAGGCUUGAAUCCGGGAGAGGGAUGCAGAAUUCCAGGUGUAGCGGUGAAAUGCGUAGAUAUCUGGAGGAAUACCGGUGGCGAAGGCGGCAUCCUGGACCGGCAUUGACGCUGAGGAGCGAAAGCCAGGGGAGCAAACGGG